rnacentral:rRNA from 1 species
AUGGAAAGUGUUCAAAUAGAACAUGAAAACAUGAUUCAAUUGGUAUUAGUUAUUCUUCGAGAUGGAGUGGAAGAAAGGCGAAGACUCUUGAAGGAGGAAAAUGAUCCCUUCGAAAGAAUUGACCGAGGAGCCGUAUGA